rnacentral:lncRNA from 1 species
AUUUGAAUCUAGGAAUCAUAGUAUGUUUCUCAAAUAGGAAAUAAGUAAGGUAUUUCAUUGUUGACUUGAAUAUGUAGAUUUGGCUAUGAUUUUAAGCCACCAUGACAUAUUUUAUUUCUUCCUCUGUAAUUAUUCUUAGCUCAGUCUAUAUGUGAUUUGUGUACCAGACUUGGAUAUAAUAAUAAUAGAAAAAGACUAACACUGUGCUCUGCCUUGAAUCGUUGGAAUUUUCUAUGUUAUACGUAAAAAAAAAAAAACAUUCACUGCAGUGUUAUGUCUGGCCCAGGCUAUGAGUGAAGCUUCCUUCGGGAGAAUUUGUUCCAUUGCUGUUCCAGCAGGUUUUCAGCAUCAGUGAAAUGAUUGUGCCGUCAUGAGCUGGAAUACUGAGACGGGGAGAUGUAUUAGAUCAUUGAAGUCCAUCACAGGAAUGAGGCCAUAACAUGCUCUCUUAGUCUUCAAGUAAAAGUUUGUAUAGGCAUGGCCGAUCUUUAAAGUCAAAUCCUUCAGUGAAAAACUUCUGAUGCAAACAACAAUAUCGAAAGGAUUCAGUAGCUGCCUCUACGCUAACCAGAACCACCACUCAUACUUUUCCAAGAUGAAAGGAAGAAAGGAUAUGAGAUCCACUCAUGUCUUGAAAAUGUUUAAUAGGAAGAACAUAUUCCAAAUGGAAGGACUAUGA